AAUUGUUUCAGGAUUUUCAACUAUAAACCUUGUUGUGUCGGAGAGAUAUGGAAUUCAACAGAGAAUAAAUGCAUGCAGUGUCCCUCGGGAUAUUUUGGAGAAAAUUGUACUUCACUGUGCAAUGUUCCGGAAUAUGGAUAUAGAUGUUCAUCAGGGAAGUGUACAUGCAACCGUGUCACUUGUAAAAUAUGAAAAUCUAGGGAAUGUUCAACAUUGCCCGUCACGAAAAAAGCUUUAGAAAGAACAACAAAUCCAUAUCCAAGUUAUAAGACGCAACAUAUUUCAAGUAUGAUGUUCAACAAUUCGUCGACAGAAAUAUUCUUCAGAAAAACAACCAUUAUAAAUGCAACUCUAUCAAAGAAUCAAACAAGCCUUGAUAAGGAGGGUAAAAUACCUUAUAUAAUUAUACUAAGUAUAUGUGGUGUGAUAUUAUUGUGUGUUGUCAUUGGUGAGUGUGUCAUUGUCGUUCGAAAAAAUUUUGCCAAGGAGAUUUACAAAAUGAUCAGCAAAGUUUUGAUCCUAUGUACAGUGUCGUCACAAUUAGAAAUGAGUAAAAAUUUAUCAAAUUAAACGGGCUUUUCUUUACAAAGACGUCUUCAUUUUUAAAAAAAAGAUGUUUCGAAAACGACAAA